CUAAUCUCGUGUAAUUGAUUAGGCCAUUAAACAUUUCAGAUGAAGAGGAAGAGAAUAAGCACCAACCAAAUUCUCACACCAUCCAACAAAUAACCGUCCAGAGUCAUUCUGUAAUCACAAUACACAAAUUUAAUGAUUCCAUCCAAUUCUAUGUGUUCAUUCUAGAGACAACCCAAAUCGUCCACAACACCUCAUAGCCUUUCAAGCUGCAGGGUCUUCAAGCAUGGCAGUAGAUAAGUUGCUUAUUCGAGGAUAUGCAGCUUUCUCAUCAAGUUGGUUCUGAGCCCAUAUCAACAUUUUUAACAAACUUGGAAGCUUUGGAUCUUUUUCAUGACUCUGACUAGUUAGGAUGGCUGCAUUCACUUCACUUGCUGUCUUAAGGCGCUGUGAAAUGUCCAGAAGUUCUCCAACAGGGCAGUUGGUGACAUCUUCAAAAGCCAGCAGGGCAACAGUCCUCUCCAACUCUUCCAAAAAACUUUGAUUUUCUUCACCCCUGGGUGCAAGCUCCUCCUGAGCAAACUCCAAAGCCUCUUCUACUUUUCCAUUUCGAAUCAAUUCUAUCAACCGCUGCUGUUGGAGAUGGAAAAACAGUUGGGGAUUUGUAUCCAGUAUCUCAGGAUUUAAAUCAUUAACUUUCUCAAUUGCAUCCUCCACAUUUCCAGAUUGUACUGCCUUCUUAACAGCCAUGCGAUCAGUGAUUGUUGCAAGAUCUAUAUCUGGUUCAGUUCCAGACUCCAUCCGGAAUUUCUCAGCAGCAUCAACAUAACCCUCAGUAACAAGAAAAUUCAUCACCAAUUUAUUCAUGUCUUUUUUCCUAAUGUUUACAUCA
rnacentral:misc_RNA from 1 species